GAAGAGGUGCAGCAGGUGUCUCCCCGGAGAAGCAAAUCUCAGUUUGAAAACGCAAUGGGCUGCUCUGCUGGUUCAGUGAGGAAGCUUGGGUUCAAAUCAUCUACAUGAUCCCUUUUGCCAAUGUCUCAAAAAAGAGACAUCGAACAGCGCAACCCAACUGCAUGCAAUUGGCAAGUCCCAUAUGAGAAGGAUAAUACGGAAUAACCCCCCAGCUUUUUACAUCAUUUACAGCAACACUUCUCAAUCCGACUGAGCUGGAAAAAUAAAAAAGCCAAUAGCAC